GACGAACGCUGGCGGCGUGCUUAACACAUGCAAGUCGAACGGAGCUAUUUAUUUCGGUAAAUCGCUUAGUGGCAAACGGGUGAGUAACGCGUAGGCAACCUGCCCUCAGGAUGGGGACAACGGCUCGAAAGAGCCGCUAGUACCGAAUGACGUAACUCUUCCACAUGGAAGAGAUACUAAAGAUGGGUCAAACCAUCGCCUAAGGAUGGGCCUGCGUCUGAUUAGCCAGUUGGUGAGGUAACGGCUCACCAAAGCGACGAUCAGUAGCCGGUCUGAGAGGAUGAACGGCCACAAUGGGACUGAGACACGGCCCAUACUCCUACGGGAGGCAGCAGUGGGGAAUUUUCCGCAAUGGGCGAAAGCCUGACGGAGCAACGCCGCGUGAGUGAAGAAGGUCUUCGGAUCGUAAAGCUCUGUUGUCGGGGACGAAAGAGUAGACGAGGAAAUGCGUCUACUAAGACG
rnacentral:rRNA from 1 species